CAUUGCACGCACAUCCCUAGCCCGACCUCGACGUACCCGUCCCAUCCGAUCCCUGCUCCCUCUCUCGCUCUCGCCGCGCAGUACCAGCAGCUGCCAUGGAUCUACUACCGCCGGCGUCAGAGGCGCCGGCCGGUGGCGGCGCAGUUGGGGGCCGAGGGCUGCGACGCGGGGUCGGGUUCCCGUCGCUCAAGCUGGUGAACGUGUCCAUGGAAGAGGCCCUCCCAGCCGAGCCCGUCGGCGUCGCCUACGGCCGCCUCACCAACGGACUCACCUACUACGUCCGCUCCAACCCCAAGCCCCGCAUGCGCGCAGCCCUCUCCCUCGCCGUCAAGGUCGGGUCGGUGGUGGAGGAGGAGGACGAGCGCGGGGUGGCGCAUAUCGUCGAGCACCUCGCCUUCAGCGCAACGUCACGCUACACCAAUCACGACAUCGUUAGGUUCCUCGAGAGCAUUGGCGCAGAGUUUGGCGCCUGCCAGAACGCUCUCACUUCCUCUGACGAAACCAUCUAUGAGCUGCUCGUGCCUGUGGACAAGCCCGGACUGCUCUCCCAGGCAAUCUCCGUCCUCGCAGAGUUCAGCUCCGAGGUUCGGGUUUCAGCGGAGGAUCUGGAGAAAGAAAGGGGUGCUGUGCUGGAGGAAUACAGGGGCGGGCGCAACGCCACUGGGCGGAUGCAGGACUCCCACUGGACAUUGUUGUUUGAGGGUUCUAAGUAUGCAGAAUGUUUGCCGAUAGGUACAGAGAAGGUGAUACGGACUGUUACACAUGAGGCAGUUAGAAAUUUUUAUCAUAAGUGGUACAAUCUAAGCAAUAUGGCUGUCUUUGCAGUGGGAGACUUCCCAGAUACACAGGCUGUUGUUGAGUUAAUAAAGGAGCAUUUUGGUCAGAAAGCCUCAAUUUCCUGCCCUCCACUGGUUAUACCGGAGUUUCCAGUUCCAUCGCAUAUUGAACCUCGAUUUUCAUGCUUUGUGGAAUCCGAAGCUGCAGGGUCAGCUGUUGUUAUUAGCUGCAAGAUGCCUGCCGGUGAAAUUAAAACAGUCAAGGAUUAUAGGGACUCAUUGGCAGAAUCAAUUUUCCAUUGUGCUCUGAACCAGAGGCUCUUCAAACUAUCUCGUAGGAGGGAUCCUCCAUACUUCUCUUGCUCUUCAGCUGCAGAUGCUCUUGUCCGUCCGGUGAAGGCAUAUAUUAUGACAUCCAGUUGUCGCGAAAAAGGCACGGUUGAGGCUCUUGAGUCUAUGCUAGUGGAGGUUGCUAGGGCACGGCUCUAUGGAUUUUCUGAACGUGAGAUAUCCAUUGUGCGUGCUUUAAUGAUGUCAGAGAUCGAGUCUGCAUAUCUGGAGCGUGAUCAAAUGCAAUCAACCAGCUUACGUGAUGAGUAUCUGCAGCAUUUUCUUCGCGAGGAGCCUGUUGUCGGGAUUGAAUAUGAAGCACGGUUGCAGAAGACUCUUCUUCCAUACAUUUCUUCUGCUGAAGUGGUGAAGUUUGCGGAAAAUUUUUCAACAACCAGUAGCUGUGUUAUCAAGAUAGUUGAGCCCCGGGCCCAUGCUUCUCUGGAGGAUCUGAAAGCUGUUGUAUUGAAAGUUAACACUCUAGAAGAAAAGAGGAGUAUUCCUCCCUGGGAGGAAGAGCAAAUCCCUGAAGAAAUUGUUAGCCAAAGUCCAGUGCCAGGAAUUAUUGUUGAUAAAGUGGAGCACCCAGGCAUAGGUGCCACUGAGAUGAUACUAUCUAAUGGGAUGCGAGUUUGCUACAAGUGUACUGACUUUCUUGAUGAUCAGGUUGUUUUUACUGGGUUUGCCUAUGGUGGUCUGUCCGAAUUAUCUGAAGAUGAAUAUACUUCAUGCACAAUGGGCUCGACAAUAGCAGGAGAAAUUGGUAUUUUUGGCUACAGACCUUCUGUCUUGAUGGACAUGCUUGCUGGCAAGAGAGCUGAAGUUGGUACAAAAGUUGGGGCGUACAUGAGAUCAUUUUCUGGCGAUUGUUCACCUUCAGAUCUUGAGACUGGUUUACAGCUUGUCUACCAACUAUUUACAACAAAGGUGGAGCCAAGGGAGGAAGAAGUAAAAAUAGUCAUGCAAAUGGCGGAGGAAGCUAUCUAUGCUCAGGAAAGAGAUCCUUACACUGCAUUUGCAAAUCGUUCACGGGAAAUAAAUUAUGGGAACUCCUACUUCUUUAAGCCAAUUAGAAUAAGUGAUUUGAAGAAAGUGAAUCCAAUCAGAGCAUGUGAAUAUUUCAACAUGUGCUUCAAGGAUCCAUCAGCUUUUACCGUUGUAGUAGUUGGAAACAUAGACCCAGCCAUCUCAAUCCCACUGAUUUUGGAGUACCUGGGUGGGAUACCAAAGGUACAGGAUACAGUUCAGCCACUUAGUCGUGAGGAUCUAAAGGGAUUGCCCUUCAAGUUUCCGGAAACCAUAAUUAGAGAAGUUGUCCGCAGCCCUAUGGUUGAAGCUCAGUGCUUCGUCCAACUAGGGUUUCCAGUGGUUCUAAAGAGCACAAUGAUGACGGAGGAUAUUCACUAUGUCGGAUUUUUAAGUAAACUUCUCGAAACAAAAAUCAUGCAAGUACUCCGCUUCAAAUAUGGACAGGUCUACUCAGUUAAUGUAGGUGUCUUCUUAGGUGGCAACAAACCUUCUAGAAGUGGAGAUGUUCGUGGAGACAUAAGUGUGAAUUUCUCAUGCGAUCCAGACAUGUCAUCUAGGCUUGUUGAUUUUGUUCUGGAAGAGAUAUCAUAUCUACAGACAGAAGGCCCUUCUGAAGAAGAUGUAUGGACCAUCCUAGAAAUUGAACAAAGAGCACAUGAAAACGGAUUGCAGGAAAAUUAUUACUGGUUGGAUCGAAUUCUGCGGAGCUAUCAAUCAAGGAUUUAUUCGGGAGAUGUUGGAUCCACCUUCAUGGUUCAAGAUGAGGGACGUGUAAAAGUUAGAGAAGCUUUAACACCACAGGCCAUGCAAAUGGCCUUGCGAAGGGUGAUAUCUUUCCCAUGUAAAAAACAGUACACGGUAGUAAUUCUUAUGCCUAAGUCAUCUUGUUGGAAUUCGUUGAUAUCGGUGGUUUGUUGGAGUUCUGGUGGAUUUAGCAGAGAUGCAAAGAUUUUGGCUGGCAUGGCUGGUGCACUGGUCGUAGCAGCCAGUUUGUGGAGAUACUCACGGGGUGCAUUGAGAUCGUAGUGCACAGCACAUUUAAGUUAAGAGCCAAAUUGGUAGAUGUUUGUUACCAUCUCACCAUCAGCCAACAAAUCUGGUUGUUGGUGCGGUGAUUCUUCAUCACGGAAGAAGGCCUUUGCCUCAUGCACACGAUUUGCAUCAGGAGUCGGCAGAAGAGAAUCAAGAGAUGAAUCGGCACAUAGGUGGCCGUCCGGCUGACACCACUAGCUGCACCGACCAAAGCGGUGAUUUGGAAUUUUGUAAAGUAAAAGAAAAAGUGGUAAUAGCAUCUGGAAAGAGCAAGUACAGCAAUCUACAACCAUGCUCUCUCAAUGGCAAGAACAAGUACAGCAAGGCUCCACCCUCAAAUCUGACUUGGCUAUUUCAGGUACCAAAAUAUAUUCAGAUGCUUCUUGGUAUAAGAAGAAUGUGCCUGGGUAUGGUGGCAAUCCGGCUACUGGUACUAGUGUUCACAUCCUCUUCCCCAAAGACGAUUCUGAUUCAAGAAUAAUGAUUCAAACCUCUACUCAUGAUGUUUCUUCACCUCUUAUUGCUGAAGUUUAUGCACUUCUAUUUGCUGCUAAAAUCUCUUGCUGGCUUCAGCUUCAACAAGGUUCUUUUCUCACUGACAAUCUUUCAUUACCAAAGAUGGCUGCUUCAAGAGAUAUCAAUAACACCAACAUCAACUGGAGAUGCAGACAGCCAAUUAGCGAGUUCUUUCAAGUCUCUCAUUCUCUUAAUGAUGUUUAUCACAUAUCCAGGAAUUGCUCACAAUUGUGCUCAUCAAGUUCUCAACUCGGGAGUAGAACCCGUCUUUAGUUGUUCACGUUCUUCUCAUGCCAAUGUACCUUGCCCUCCCUUCUCAACUUUCAGGUUCGGGGCUAUGUAAUUCAUGUUCUACAUUAUCUAUGAGUUGAAUGAAAAAGUGGCGCUUGACGGCUC